UGUCUAUGGCGCCGGGUGGCUCCCGCCGCACUCCGGGCCCCCCCGGUGCCCCCCGGGCCCCCGGUGCCCCCGCCCCGCCCCGGCAGGAGAAACCGGAGGAGCUCCGAGUGGACGGUUCAGCGGAAGCUGCGGGAAUUCUUCUCCAUCCCACGGUGCCUGGUCAGCGUGUUCAGCCUCUUCCUCGUGGAGCUGAUCCGCUUCCUUGGCGAGGCGCUGGUCCAGGUGAGCCGCCCCAUUCCCACAGAGACGCGGCCAGAGCUGAGGACGUCAAAAUCCUUCAGCGUCGGGAGAAGAAACUUCUGGUUCCCGCUAUCCCAAAUUUCCCCUCCUAUAGCGGAAUUUCUGUGUCUCAGCCCGUUUUUGGUGGCUCCCGCUGGCAAAUAUCCCUCAAACCCAGGAUUUCAUCCCAAAUCCAGGCGCUGGUGGUCGGCGUCCUCACAGCUGUUGGCGACCACGUCCUGAAGCCUCUCCUGGCAGCGGCGUUCCACAGCCUCUUGCAGCCGCUCCUGCUCUUCCUGCUGAAGGUGCUGGGUGGCAUCCGGGACCUGGUGGAUCCUGUGCUGGACGUGGUGGCCCGGCUGUGCUCCCAGCUGGCCGUGCUGCUCCGUGCCGUCCGGCUGGUGGAGAUCCGCCUGCACCCGGACACACGGACCGGCCCCGUGGCUGGCUGAGGGGGCCAAGGAAGAGAAGGAGGAGGAAAUCCACACUCCUGGGAAUUGUGGAUGAGUGGGCCUGGCUGUGGCCCAGGAGUGGUGUUCCUCUCCCUGCCUGGAAAGCUUGGCUUCCCAUUGGGAAGGACAUCCCCACGCGGCCUCUUGCAGCCGGGAGCGGCGGUUUGGAGCUUCCCGGGCUGUAAGAUCAUCCUCGGGCCGGAGCCGGGGCCGCAGCGCUCCCGCCGGAGGCUGGCCGGGCUAUUUGGGGGGUGCUGAGUUCACGGAGCCGUGACGGGAUGUUCCCUCGGGCGCUGCGAGGCGUCGGGAGCCGGGAGCCAGCGAAGAGGAGCUCUCCGGGAUCGGGUGACGAAGAGCAGCGCGGGACGGAGCGCCGGAACCUGCCGGGCAGCGGGAAGCGAGCUCGUUUCCCGGGAAAGGCAGAGCCGCAGGCGGGCACGGGCAGGACCCGCCUCAGGGAUCGGAUCCAGGAUGUCCCGCGGCAAAGCCACCGUGCCAGGACGGCCACACGCCGAGUCCCGGAGCCUCCCGAGACACUGGGGACACACGGUUGUCUCUGGGUUCUUUCACUUUCACCGGGACCCAACCACUGCCUCCCGUGACCUUUCCCCGAGGAAAGGGUUAAAAGGACAAACCUGAGAGGGAGGUUUUGGUGGGAGGUUUCUCCCUGUGCUGAUUUAGCUGGCAAAUCACUUUAAUGACUUAAAUGGUUUUAAUUAAAUCCAUCUGCUCCGUAAA